rnacentral:tRNA from 1 species
UGGCUCAGUGGUAGAGCACUUGCCUAGCAUGCAUGAGGCACUGGGUUCCAUCCCCAG